rnacentral:rRNA from 1 species
UACGGAGGGUGCAAGCGUUAUCCGGAAUCACUGGGUUUAAAGGGUGCGUAGGCGGCUUAGUAAGUCAGAGGUGAAAGUUCUGGGCUUAACCGAGGAAUUGCCUUUGAUACUGCUGAGCUUGAAAAAGGUUGAGGCAGGCGGAAUGUGGCGUGUAGCGGUGAAAUGCUUAGAUAUGCCAUAGAACACCAAUUGCGAAGGCAGCUUGCUGGACCUGUUUUGACGCUGAGGCACGAAAGCGUGGGGAGCGAACAGG